rnacentral:rRNA from 1 species
CCUACGGGAGGCAGCAGUGAGGAAUCUUGCGCAAUGGGGGCAACCCUGACGCAGCAACGCCGCGUGGAGGAUGAAGGUCUUCGGAUUGUAAACUCCUGUCAGAGGGGACGAAGGCUUGCGGGUGAAUAGCCCGCAAGCUUGACGGUACCCUCAGAGGAAGCCACGGCUAACUCUGUGCCAGCAGCCGCGGUAAUACAGAGGUGGCUAGCGUUAUUCGGAAUUAUUGGGCGUAAAGGGCGCGUAGGCGGCCGAGUAAGUCCUGGGUGAAAUCCCUCGGCUCAACCGAGGAACUGCCUUGGAAACUACUCGGCUCGAGGCCGGGAGAGGGUAGUGGAAUUCCCAGUGUAGCGGUGAAAUGCGUAGAUAUUGGGAGGAACACCGGUGGCGAAGGCGGCUACCUGGACCGGUUCUGACGCUGAGGCGCGAAAGCGUGGGGAGCA